AUUGAACGCUGGCGGCAGGCCUAACACAUGCAAGUCGAACGAGUGGCGGACGGGUGAGUAAUGUCUGGGAAACUGCCUGAUGGAGGGGGAUAACUACUGGAAACGGUAGCUAAUACCGCAUACCAUCGGAUGUGCCCAGAUGGGAUUCGCUAGUAGGUGGGGUAAGGGAGCACCUAGGCGACGAUCCGUAGCUGGUCUGAGAGGAUGACCGGCCACGCGUGAACGUAGACACGGUCCAGAAUCCUACGGGAGGAAGCAGUGGGGAAUAUUGCACAAUGGGCGCAAUCCUGAUGAAGCCAGGCCGCGUGUAUGAAGAAGGCCUUCGGGUUGUAAAGUACUUUCGGCGGGGAGGCGUUACCCGCAGAAGAAGCACCGGCUAACUCCGUGCCAGCAGCCGCGGUAAUAC
rnacentral:rRNA from 1 species